UGGUGCCUUCGGGAACUCUGAGACAGGUGCUGCAUGGCUGUCGUCAGCUCGUGUUGUGAAAUGUUGGGUUAAGUCCCGCAACGAGCGCAACCCUUAUCCUUUGUUGCCAGCGGUUCGGCCGGGAACUCAAAGGAGACUGCCAGUGAUAAACUGGAGGAAGGUGGGGAUGACGUCAAGUCAUCAUGGCCCUUACGAGUAGGGCUACACACGUGCUACAAUGGCAUAUACAAAGAGAAGCGACCUCGCGAGAGCAAGCGGACCUCAUAAAGUAUGUCGUAGUCCGGAUUGGAGUCUGCAACUCGACUCCAUGAAGUCGGAAUCGCUAGUAAUCGUAGAUCAGAAUGCUACGGUGAAUACGUUCCCGGGCCUUGUACACACCGCCCGUCACACCAUGGGAGUGGGUUGCAAAAGAAGUAGGUAGCUUAACCUUCGGGAGGGCGCUUACCACUUUGUGAUUCAUGACUGGGGUGAAGUCGUAACAAGGUAACCGUAGGGGAACCUGCGGUUGGAUCACCUCCUUA
rnacentral:rRNA from 1 species